CUACUACUCCCUCCGUCCAACAAAAAGAUGAUGUUUGUUAAAAUUUAGAUGUAUCUAAACAUAACUUAAUGUAUAGAUACAUUAAAAUUUAGUUAAAAUUGAGACAUCUUUUAUUGGACGGAGGAAGUAGAAG
rfam:Brachypodium distachyon strain Bd21 chromosome 3, whole genome shotgun sequence.